rnacentral:rRNA from 1 species
AGGGUUUGAUCCUGGCUCAGAGCGAACGCUGGCGGCGUGGUUUAGGCAUGCAAGUCGAGCGCGAAAGUGGGCUUCGGCCCACGAGUAGAGCGGCGGAAGGGUGAGUAACGCAUAGGCAACCUACCCCUGACUUCGGUAUAGCCUCUGGAAACGGAGGGUAAUCCCGGAUGGCCCCGAUGGGAGGAAUCUCCUGUCGGGUAAAGGUUGGGAUCUUCGGACCUUCUGGUCGGGGAGGGGCCUAUGCCCCAUCAGCUAGUUGGUGAGGUAAGAGCUCACCAAGGCAUUGACGGGUAGCCGGACUGAGAGGUUGGCCGGUCACACUGGGACUGAGACACUGCCCAGACUCCUACGGGAGGCUGCAGUCGAGAAUCUUCCGCAAUGGGCGAAAGCCUGACGGAGCGACGCCGCGUGGGGGAUGAAGGCCUUCGGGUUGUAAACCCCUGACACGGAUUAAGAAUGGCUGUCUGUUAAUAGCAGGCUGCUUGACAAAGGUCCGAGAGGAAGCCACGGCUAACUCCGUGCCAGCAGCCGCGGUAAUACGGAGGUGGCAAGCGUUGCUCGGAAUCACUGGGCAUAAAGGGCGUCUAGGCGGAUAGGUAAGUCGGUUGUGAAAUCCCCCGGCUUAACCGAGGAACUGCAGCCGAUACUGCCAGUCUUGAGGACGAGAGGGGAGAGUGGAACUCCUGGUGAAGCGGUGAAAUGCGUAGAUAUCAGGAGGAACGCCGGCGGCGAAAGCGACUCUCUGGCUCGUUCCUGACGCUGAAGCGCGAAAGCCAGGGGAGCGAACGGGAUUAGAUACCCCCGUAGUCCUGGCCGUAAACGAUGAGCACUAAGUAGUGGCGGUUUCGAUGUCGUCACUGCCGUAGCUAAUGUGUUAAGUGCUCCGCCUGGGGAGUACGGUCGCAAGGCUGAAACUCAAAGGAAUUGACGGGGGCUCACACAAGCGGUGGAGGAUGUUGCUUAAUUCGAUCAACGCGAAGAACCUUACCUGGGUUUGACAUCCUUGUGGUAGGACCCUGAAAGGGGAACGACCGGGGGCAACCUCGGAGCAAGGACAGGUGUUGCAUGGCUUCGUCAGCUCGUGCCGUGAGGUGUUGGGUUAAGUCCCGUAACGAGCGAAACCCUUAUCGUUAGUUGCCAGCGGGUAAUGCCGGGGACUCUAGCGAGACUGCCGGUGUCAAACCGGAGGAAGGUGGGGACGACGUCAAGUCAUCAUGGCCCUUACGCCCAGGGCUGCAAACGUCCUACAAUGGCGCGUACAAAGGGAAGCAAACCUGCAAGGGCAAGCCAAUCCCAUAAAGCGCGUCCCAGUUCGGAUUGUGGGCUGAAAUUCGCCCACAUGAAGUCGGAAUCGCUAGUAAUCGCGGAUCAGCACGCCGCGGUGAAUAUGUUCCUGAGCCUUGUACACACCGCCCGUCAAGCCACGGAAGCCGGGAGUGCCCGAAGCCCGUGACCCAACCCUUGGGAGGGAGCGGUCGACGGUAAGCCCGGUGACUGGGACUAAGUCGUAACAAGGUA